UACAGAUCCAAAUGCCAGGUUCAGAGUUGUUAGGUUGGAAGGCUGUACACUUAUUCCAGUGAUUCUGCCAUUAUUCUAAUCUCUUUUGGAAUUCUCUUAUUGGAAUUCCUGUCUUAGACCAAGGCAUGUGGUUUUUGAAGGAUUUAUUGGUGGCAAACUUUGGUUUUGUGAGAAGAUCUGCUAUUCAGAAAAUGCAAAAUGCAUCUGGAGCCCAGUCUGGUAUCCUGCACUGAAGCUGGAGGUCAGGGGUCAGAUGCUGUGCGCUGAUAGCAGAAUCUCUCCCAUUUUGGAGAAGGCAAUGGCAAUCCACUUCAGUGUUCUUGCCUGGAGAAUCCCCAUGGACAGAGGAGCCUGGUGGACUACAGUCCAUGGGGUCACAAAAGAGUUGGACAUGACUGAGCACUUUCACUUUCUGAUCCACCUUCUUCCCUCUUGGCAGUGUGAAAGAUUGUUCUUUUGAUGUCAUCUAAGAAGUCUUUCAUGCAAAGAUGGGCUCGAUAAAGGACAGAAAUGGUAUAGACCUAACAGAAGCAAAAGAUAUUAAGAAGAGGUGGCAAGAAUACACAAAAGAACUGUACAAAAAAGAUCUUCAUGACCCAGAUAAUCACAAUGGUAUGAUCACUCACCGAGAGCCAGACAUCCUGGAAUGUGAAGUCAAGUGGGCCUUAGAAAGCAUCACUACGAACAAAGCUAGUGGAGGUGAUGGAAUUCCAGUUGAGCUGUUUCAAAUCCUGAAAGAUAAUGCUGUGAAAGUGCUGCA
ensembl:lncRNA